CACACUCGGCCGCCUCACCAUGUGAUUCCCUGUGCUGCCUCCAGACUCUGUCAAGUCCCCACCAGCAAGAAGGCCCUCACCAGAUGCAGCCCUAGACUUUGGACUUCUCAGCCUUUGUACCUGUAAGAAAUAAAUACCUUUUCUGUAUAAAUUACCCAGUUUCAGGUAUUCUGUUAUAAGCAACAGAAAAUUGACUGAGACAAUACGUAUAUUCUAAUUGUGUUCACUUUUCUUUCAUCUAGACUUACCAGAAGUUUACUUCUCUGGUUGGCUUUUCAAGGAAGCUUUUGAAUUUCACUUCUAUUUUUUCUAUUAAUGCAUUCAUUAUUAGUGAAGUAUUUUGUAAUCAUUUUUCAAACAGAUUGGGUGUUUUUUUUUUCUCAUUUCAAUAUGUAGUUCACUUAUGUUAAUUAUUUAGGGCUUACAUUUUUCUCUGUUCUCAACCUUCAUCAGAUUCCGUAACACUUGAUACGUUGUAAGGUUUCUGUUUUCAUUCAUUAUACACCUUCCCCACCCCAGGCCUUUUCAUUACUUUCAACACAGUCUCGUAUUAGGAUUUAUGUUUUUUAAAACAAUUAUUUAGGAGAAUAGAAUAGUUUUUUUCUCCUUGUAUUGGGUUUUUUGUUUGUUUAGAUGUCUGUUGUUUCUGUGAUGGCUUUGUUUUAAUCUGUGCUUGGAGAGUGCUCUCUCAUUGCUACUUUGGAGAAUGUAUUAUUCUUUGGCCUAGUAUGAUUGUGUGUGUACAUUUGGGGACAAAAUGUUUUUGUGGAGAUAAUGUAGACUUAAAAUUUUAAAUCCGUAGCUGUAUUUUCGUCACAAUGAAAAUUUGAUGUCCUUAGUAAGCCCCGAAUAGAAAGCCUUGACUUGCUUUUUGAGCAUAGUUAACAGUGUUGAGAUAAGAGAGGUUUGCUGGCAGUUGCACUGAUGGCUGCACUGUUGUCCAGUGGGCCCAGCUGGGUGUACAGCUCGCCGUAUAAACAGAAAUCUAGACACAGGUCCCUAGAAGCCUAAUCUGUGACCUAGACCCUGUCUCUGAGGUACUCUUACCAGAAAGUUAAUCUGUUAGAGGAUCUUUCAUCAGCAUAAAAGGCAGAAAUAAUUUUCUAAAUGCUGUUGAUAAAAUGUGAGUGCAUGCUGCUUCAUUCGAUUAUGGAAACUGAGCAUUGGAGACUUAUUCUCCUUUUUAACACCACUUGCCUCCAGUAACUUACACUAAUUGUCAUCUAUACCAAGCCUUUGAAAAUUUGUAGUUUUUGUAAGUUUUUAGGAAAUAUGCAUGCUAAUUAGAUAAUGCCUAAAUUAUGUUGCUUUUCAUGUGAAUUUAGUAAAGUCAUUUAAGACCCGUUGGCUUAGUUUUUCAUGAGACUUUCUAAACAUGCUUAAUCUCUGCAUACUAUUUUAAUAAUAAUGUAAGUUUUUGACUUUUUGCUAUUAUAAUGGGCAGUGAAUAUAUUUGUGCUGAAAUCUGUGUGGAAUUUUUUUGAACAUCAUUUUCUUACUGUAUAUUAUUAGAGGUGAAAUGUUUGGGUCAGGAGUUACAAACAUAUAUAUUUUUAAAAAACUACUCUAAAGAUCCUUGAUACAUUUUGUCAAAUUGAUUUCUUGUAAAAAUGGGACCAGUUUGCACCUCUGUUGUGGUAUGAGAGAGUGCCCAUCUCCUUGGGGACCUAGCCCCUUGAUGGUUCCAGCACUCCAUCGAAAACCAGCUCCACUGUGGGGUGUUUUGUGUGACAUGGUGGUGUCAUAUGUCUUCUCUGCAAGAAAAGGCAUUGUUAGCAAGGCAAACAGAAAUACUCGAUACAGUUAUGUAUAAACCAGAGGAAGCCUUUGCCAGAGAGAUUGUUGACAAUUGCUAGAGGGUAUGAUAAUGCAGAAGUUACAGAGUGUUCCUUUGGCAACACGUGUUAAUGGAUUUGUUCCAGUGUUGGAGCCCUUUUUAAUGAAAAUUCUCAACACCUACACUGGAAAAAUAAUAAAAUAAAAAGCCUUAGUCAGGAAUGUAUUGCUUGUUAAGAUUUAGCCAAGGAAGUCACAUGUUAUUUAACAAGGUAGAUUACUUUUUUCUUUGUAGUAGGCAAGGAAACAGCUAUGCUUCACUUCUAAAUAAAAAAAAAAAAAAUUUUAAAAACGUUUUUUAAAAAGAAAAACGUGACUAAGAUAACUGUCUCAUUCCCAGGCACUUUUUAAUCUCAUAUAAAUUUACAUUUAGAGACUUAACAGUUUGGCUUUUUUGAAUGAAUGCCAGAAAUACAGUUGGACUAUAGAGUCUCAGCUGAGAAGCAGACACAUGGAGCAAGUCUCAUUACUAUUAUCACAAUGUAUGUCCUAAUACAAUAAAGUUGAGGUUUAACCAAAAGUUCUCUUUUCUUCUGGCAUGCUUUGUGAGAAAAUAUUUGAGCUGGUGUAAAUUGUAAUUACUGGCAGAUAUGGAAGAGAGUCUGACUUGGAGUAUUCAUGAUGCUGAUAUGCUGCUGCAGUCAGUCAAGUGCUGCGAAAGGGGGCCGAAGCUCUGUACCUGUAACAUUCCAUAAAGGCUAAGGAUCAUGAGGAUGUUGAGUGGGCAGGGCCCCAGCGGUCUUUACUGAAAUACCAGAGCCUGCACUCUGAUAAUGAAUGAGGCUCGAGGGAACAUUCCUUUGGCAUAUUUUAAUGCUUGACCUAGUUGACUGGGGUGCUCUGGGAAAAUGAGCCUCACUUCCUGCUUUUCCACCUUAAAUUGAAGUAUGGGGUGCUCUGGGAAAAUGAGCCUCACUUCCUGCUUUUCCACCUUAAAUUGAAGUAUGUCAUUUAUAUGAUUGUUAAUAUUGAAAUGAGCAGCUGUACCACUCUGUUCUCAACAGGGAGGAAGCCUUUUUAUUUGUAAUGUUUGAAAAUAUUCUUUCUCAGCCGCGCGUGGUGGCUUAUGCCUGUAAUCCCAGCACUUUGGGAGGCUGAGGCGGGUGGAUCCUGAGUUCCCUUGCAUUUAGCCCUCAUGCCAAUCAUAUGCUUGUCAUAGUGUGCUCCUUAUAUGUUUUGGGUACUUCAUCAUUUUCUAGUUGUAAUCUCAGUCUUGAGAGCAGGCUCAGACGUUUGCUUCGAUUCUUUCACUGGCAAUCACGGAGACUUGACAUUGUUUCAUUUAGGGGACUGUACAUUUCCUCAUGGGGCAUGCAGUUUGUGUUGGAGAUACAGAAAGCUUCAUCUUGAACUUGGUGCUUCUUCCUGGAACAGUAAUUUUAUUUCAGGUUUGUGGGAGAGGAAGAGGAGGGACCUUGUUUUUUUUUUGCAAACCAUGACAUUCCCUGUACGUACCAUGUACCUGGUGCAUGAUAAAUAACUGUUAAAUAGAUUUCUAUACUAUUAACAGAAAGCUUGUAUUGUGUCCGGAAUUGGUUCCUUCAGGUGGUUUCUUGGUCUCACUGACUUCAAGAAUGAAGCCAUAGACCCUCACGAAUCCUCAGUGGCUAGCCUAAUUGACUACAACCAGUUUAGAUGAUCAGCUACCUUCCUUUUGCCAUUAUUUCAGAUGCUGCCUUGCCCAUAGCACAACCAAUGCAUUUAAAAAAUAAAAACAUUUGGGGUGGGAGAACUAUGAUUAAAUAAAGGAGAUCUCUGUAGAGUAUGGCAAAGCUUGCACACAACUUUAAUAAAAAUAUGCUGUCUUGAGUAACCAGCAUAUUACAGAGGCUCUGUGAAUGCCUCUUCAUCUAGAAUUUCAGUACAAGCUGUACAUAAAAUAUUUAUACAGCACAGUGUGCUUUGCCCCUCACAAAAGCGUGGGUUCAGAUGUACACUGUUACUAUAGACGUCACUAACAUAUAAGCCGGUGAAGAACCUUUAAUGUAUUUGUAAUGUUAGCAAAGUAUCUGUCAUCAGAUUAAACUUGUAGUGACUGAUAAUGUAGCCUUGGCUCCUAGCCAAAAAUAUUUUUUUUGAUAUCAGAAUGACACUUAAUAGUAAAGAUAUGUCAUAGAGGAAGGGGAAGAAGAGAAUUUACUAGAGAAACUUAAAAGACUGGUUGGUGCAGAACCUAGUAACUUGGUUUGUGGCUGGCAGAAAUGGGAGUAGUCCCUGGGAUUACUUCUAAGGAGGAAAUUUUACUACAAACACAGCUGGGAAUAAUUCUGUUACCAAGUCUUUUUUAGGAUCAAUACAGAGCUUAUUUGUAAAAAUUAAAAUCUAACUAUCACUUUAUUGUCUAUGGGUAUCUGUUACAUUUUAUCUGUAAAAGAGGAAUGGAAAUGCCUGCCUAGUAGGUUCAUCAUAAGGACUGAGAGGAUACGGGACCUUAUUAAGUCCUCAGCAAAAGUUUCAAUAAAUAUACUGUUUUCUCUCCAUUAUCAAGGAUAUAUGGAUUAAUAUUAAUAUAUAAAUAUAUAAAUCCAUUAUAUAGUAAUAUAUAUUAACAUAUACUUCCUUUAUUAAUAUCCUGGAUAUAUGAAAUUAAUAUCUUGGAUAUAUGAAAAGGUAUUCCAGAUCAAUAAGAUGAACACAGUAGUAGAAAAAUAGAGAACAUGAACAAGAGUGUAAAAAGAUCUCAAGCCUAAAAAUGAGUAUUGUUCCAUUACAUUUCCCUCAAAAACAUUUCUUUUUCCUUUCAGAAUGAUGGUCACUAUACUGGAUGGACUUCUGAACUAGUGAAUUACUUUCAUCUUUUGAUCACACUAGGAAAUUGUCCACGGAGUUGAAAUAUUUAUUGCAGUAAUUUCUGGCCUUACAUAAUUAAGAUAACAUAUCGUUUUUUUCUUUAUAACUAUCAUGAAGUUGUCAUGUUUGUUUCCUUUAACUUUGCUUUUUAGAGCAUCAUUUUAAAUGACAGCAUAGUAUUCAGUUAUAUGGAAAUGUAAUGGUUUCUCUAUCCCAUCUCCUUUUAUUAGACAUUUAUAUUGUUUCUUGUUAUUUACUUUUAGAAAUAACAUUGCAGUGAACAUCUGUCAUGCACAUCUAUGAUUAUUUCCUUAGGAUAAAUUGCCAGAAGUGGCAUUGCUGAACAAUGAUAGAAUGUAGCACUCAGGUGUUGAUGUAUUCUGUUAAUUUACUCUGUUGAUGUACUGUUUUCUCGAAAGGCCACACCAGUUUAUAAUCUCAGUAGCAGUAUAUUGAAGUACCUGGUAACUUUCAGCUCUCAGCAACAUUGGUAGUUAGCAAUUUGAAAAAAAAAAGUGUUUGUUUUUAAAAAACAUUCUAGGUAUUCCUUUUUAAGUCCAUAUUAUCUCUUGCCUCUAAUGCUGUAGUAGUCAUGAUCUCCUUACUGGUUUAUUUCUAUCUAGCACCCACUUUGCCACUAACAGAAUCGGAUAGGGCACGGACUGUAGAGUUAGAUGCCUGGGUUCAAAUCAUGACUGUGCUGUGCCUCAAUUUCCCCAGGAGGAAAUUGACUUGGAGGAUUAAGUGGCUUGCUCACUGAUGGUUGUGGAAAUGGUCAGUGGCAGAGCUGAAUGUGUACUCUGGGCCUUCUGACUGUAAAUACUUACUCUUGAUGCUUCAUAACAUCAUGAUAAGCUAAGGAGGUGCAGGUGUAGAUGCCCAGGUCUGGAGAUUUGCUGGAAAAGAAGGAGCAAAAGAGGAUGCCACUGGGAGGAGGGAGCAGAGUUGGGCCUGUAACACCAUAGGGGCAGGGACCUUGUCUGUGUUGACCACAGCGAGGUCUCUAGUGCUUAACAUGUGGUAUUUGUAGGAGAUCGGUCAGGGUGGUGGAAGAAAUUGUAGGAAAAGAUGCAAACCUUCUUGGAAGAGGUUUUGCAAAAGCUUCAAAAAAGGGUUUGGCUGAAGGCAGCCAAAUUCUCUUACCUGGAGCCUGAGAGCAAAGGACUGCUCUUUCCCAGGGAGCAGCGGGAAGCCGGGGGAGGGGGAACCAUGUUAAUUACCCACAAGUGUGUUGACUCAAAGACUUUGUCAUUACAUCCAUACUGAAUAAAUGCCCGCAGCACUGGCUUGUCAGGGCCACAGCUGCUAUGACUCUUUCUUUCUGUGAGCACCCCGAUCCCCUAGUCCGCUCUUUCACUGGAUACCUGUGUCUAAGUACGUUUUUUCAUCCAUCGCUCAGCCAGAAUCUGCCGGUCAGACCUGGCAAGUAUUUAUAGAAGAAAUGAAUCAAUAUUACAUCUCUAACCACAAGAUUGCACAGGCAUUUAACUAUAUUUACCUUAUUGUAGUUUUAUGGUUUCAUCUCACAUUUUAAAAUAUUUUAUCUGUAUGAAACUUAGUUUGAAAUGUGACUUGAGAUAGGAAUUAAAAUUAAUUUCUUUCCCAAAUGAAUAGCCACCUGCAAUUUUUGUAGUUCUUGUUUAUUAGAGAGUCCUUACUCAAAGUAUAGUCCUUAAGCACUAUUAUAUUGUUUUUUCUUUCUUCUGUUUGCUUUUCUCUCCUUGGGUAGUCCUUUGUGCAAAACGUAAAUGCAGAAACUGCUCAUUGACUUGAGCCAAAUUGCUCAUGAGCAUGCUGGUUCAAUACCAAGAAAGAUGAUCUUGGCGUCACCCACCAUAGCCUACCUUCUAAGAAGAAAGAAGACAUCAUGUGACUGACUUAGGGAGUUGUACUAUUUGUUCAAUAUCUAAUGCUAGUAGACAAUCUUGUUUUAGAUAAUUCUGGCCGCCAGUUUUUUUAAACUGUUGGAACCUGGAAAUUUGAACAUUCCAGUGACUACCUUUCCU
rnacentral:lncRNA from 1 species